rnacentral:rRNA from 1 species
CUUGACAUCCAGAGAAUUUAGCAGAGAUGCUUUAGUGCCUUCGGGAACUCUGAGACAGGUGCUGCAUGGCUGUCGUCAGCUCGUGUUGUGAAAUGUUGGGUUAAGUCCGCAACGAGCGCAACCCUUAUCCUUUGUUGCCAGCACGUAAUGGUGGGAACUCAAAGGAGACUGCCGGUGAUAAACCGGAGGAAGGUGGGGAUGACGUCAAGUCAUCAUGGCCCUUACGAGUAGGGCUACACACGUGCUACAAUGGCGCAUACAAAGAGAAGCGACCUCGCGAGAGCAAGCGGACCUCAUAAAGUGCGUCGUAGUCCGGAUUGGAGUCUGCAACUCGACUCCAUGAAGUCGGAAUCGCUAGUAAUCGUAAAUCAGAAUGUUACGGUGAAUACGUUCCCGGGCCUUGUACACACCGCCCGUCACACCAUGGGAGUGGGUUACAAAAGAAGUAGAUAGCUUAACCUUCGGGAGGGCGUUUACCACUUUGUGACUCAUGACUGGGGUGAAGUCGUAACAAGGUAAGCGUAGUGCU